UGCCACAACUUACGGUACCAUAAAAGCCUGCCAUCGUGUCAAGUACAAAGAGCUGGGAGUGAUUCCUCCGUAGUUCCAUUGUGUGGUCGUGUGAAGUUUCUUCCACCCAUUGGCCGAGCACUGUGACCCAAAGGCAGUGCAGACCCAAGCCCCAGCUGUCAGGCUGCUGCAGGACUGAUGCCUGGCUUCAAGCACAUCUGUGUCCCUGCUGGCAUCGUGCUAACCAAAUUAUUGUGCUAAAAUUUUCAGAGAAUAAAACGCGGCCUCAGUAGCAGAGGUUCAGCGCUGUGCCUGUACUGCAAGAACAGCACAGGGGUAGAGAGUGCGCUCGUGCCGCUCAUCGCACAGUCAGAAGAAAGCCCACAAGCUACCAGCAUUUCCUCAGCAGCUUCCACGACAGGAGGGAAGCCAAGGCAGGAGGAGUGGGGAGGCUGUUCUUCCUCCAGCCCAACCCUGACGUGUGCUGCGCUUUUGGUUCUGCACACAGCUGCAGUGUGGCACAAAGCUUUGCCGGUGUCUCAGAUGUGGAAUGGGAUGGAGGGGACCUUGAUGACACCCAAGUGUCAGCCCCAGCAUCAAGCCACGGCAGCACCAACCGCCCCGCCUUGGCCUCGUCCCACCCGAGCCCACCGGCAGCACAGCUUUGGUCCCUUGCUCAGCACAGCCCCAGCUCUGCAGAUCUCCUCCUGUAAGCCCCAGCAGCACACCCUCCUGGCUUCCACUCCGCUCCCAGCGCUGCUGCUCUCGGGGCCUUUUAUCUGCUGCUGCCAAUCGUGCUCCUGCAGGUACCCAUGUAAACGCUGUUAGAGGUCUUUCUGCAGGCUUAUCGCUUUGACCAUCUCUCCACACCCCCCACCGAGCAUCUCUCUGCUGAAAUUCUGUUUAUCAAGUCAAACAAACUGCCUAUCUUUAUUUCAAAGGCUUCCCCAGACAGCUCUGCCUUGUCUUUUAUCACCCAUUUAGCAGUAGGAAAUGGGCUCCUGCUGCCGUGGCACCCACCUCUCCGUCGCGUGGCUCCCACACAGCCGCACUGCUGGCUGUCCCACGCUGCCCAUCUGCACGGGGACUUUUGCAGUUUCUCAGCUCACAGCCACAUUGCCACCAAGCAGACGUGAGCACAUCACGCCCUGGAUGUGUGCUCUUACAGCACAGCGUUGAAGGCAGUGACACCCACGAAUUACAGCAAACAUGUUCCGCAGGCUCAGCUGUGUCCCAGUGCAGCACAACUCAACCCUCGUGCUGGUGGGGGCAGAAGGACCAGGCUGCCCUAUGAGAUUGUCUUUGCACCACCACAUUCCUGGCCCUGCUGUCCUUGCCUUUUGGUAAUGGCAGCAUCGCUUCAUGCAGCCUUUCUUAAGCAAUGAGGAGAAGUCCUGGGGCUAAUUAAGCAGACGUAGAACAUAGUCACUUUACUCAAAACCAAUCAACUCUGAAAAGCCACAGACUAGCAUUUAAUAGAGUGUUGUAGUGGAAAUGUACCGAUUUUAACACUACUUAAGCACAACAGAUUGUCCUUCAGCUUAGAAAAAUCACGAAAGUCUUUGACCUGCUUUUAUAAUGCCUAAAUAAGUGUUGGUGCUUUCUGUCAGUCACGAAGGCUGCAGAUUAUGUGGCACACAUCAAAGUCAGAGACGGGUGACGCACACGUGUGCACCGCAGCCCCACAGCAGGGGACAGACACCUCGGUACCAGCAGGAUGUGGCUCAUCCAUGAACCUCAGGUGUAAAUCCUCCAACAUACGGCACAGGAGCUGACCAGCUCUCCUCAGCCAGCUGGGUGCGCUGGUGUGGUCAGCAGUGCUCCCAGCGUGGUGCUCGCCAUCGCUGCAUUGCAAAGGGCUGCAAGGAGCUUGAAUAUUCAAUCUCAACAUUUUCUUUGUUAAGUAAAAAACCUUUGAGAUGUGCUGCAGCCAUUUGCUUGGAUUUAGAGCUGAACACUCACCCCAGUGCACGCAUGGGGAUUCUCCCUGGCCUGCUUACAAAGCCCAGCUGGCAACUGGGGAGCAAUACUGAGAUAUCAGCAAAACCCAAGGAAAGUUCAGAGAUGGUGGUGCAGAUGCAGGGCUUUUUCUUGCUAUAAACAAUUCAUCUCUUGGAAAUACAUUGCCCUCAAAGCUUGCAUGGCCCUUUGCAGAGCAGAGCACAGCCCAAGGACAGCUGCCAGGGCUGCUCAGUUUCCCUGUUAGUGCCCCAACAUGAAAACCCUGCACCUCUCAAGCAAAGCAACUCCAGCGCAUCCAGCCCAGACAGACCAACCCUCGCAGGGCUUCCUUCCACACUGCCUCUGCAGCUCCUUAGCAAGGCUGUGACCAAAGGAAAGCACAGCCCACUCGGUCUGUCCUCCCUGCUGGUAACUUGCAAGGAUAAUACCAGGUAAACAAGGCAAAUCCUUGCUAUGAACUCCACUCCUGAUGGCAAAACUCAUUUUAUUUUUAAGCCCCACGUGGGUAUUUUGCCUUCACGGUCAUUCUUACCAAUGGAAAAGUUAGUAUCGAGGUCAGAAGCAAGCAGCUUUUGUUGGAAGAGGAAGGCUUCCCUGUUGAAGAGACAAGGUGCAGACCCAGGGGGUGUCCGUCCCCUGCUCUGCCCUCCCCUGGGUUCACCAAGGAUGAAGAGCAGAAGCCUCGUUAAGACGCAGAGGAUUAGGGCUCUGGAUGUCAGAGGCAUGUGAAACAAACAGUAGUGUAAUUUGCGGAGCAACUUUGGGAAGUUAAUUAUUUCUCAGGAUUCAACUUUAAUGACUCCUGCAUACUCCCUGGAUCUCCAGCAGCCAGCUAUGUCACGUUGCAUUAAAAGAUGCAGCAGACAGCCCAGCAUCAGAUGUGGGGGGAGAAAGAAAAUAAGAAAAAAAAAUAUAAAAGAGUCCCAGAUGGUUUCCCUUUACCAAGAACAAACAUAUGCAAUAGCACAGCGCUUUGGAAAAAAAUUGCUCACGAACCUUCUGGCUUGAAGCUACCAGUAAAUCUUCCUGUUUGCAAUGAUGCCCAGGUAUAUAUGGCAGAAAUCUCAGUGCUCUAUUAAAGGCCUUAGAGAAAAGUCUCCCUGCUUCAUAGAAAAGCUCUUAUUUACCCCUUGUGUCCUCAGAAUAACAGAUUACCACAGCUCCUGGCAAUCACACACAGCUCAGCUUUGUGUCCACACUG